CGCGUAGGCGGUUUGGUCAGUUGGAUGUGAAAGCCCCGGGCUUAACCUGGGAACUGCAUUCAAUACUGCCAGACUUGAGUACGAGAGAGGGGGGUAGAAUUUCUAGUGUAGCGGUGAAAUGCGUAGAUAUUAGAAGGAAUACCAGUGGCGAAGGCGGCUCUCUGGUCCGAUACUGACGCUGAGGCGCGAAAGCUAGGGGAGCAAACA
rnacentral:rRNA from 1 species